rnacentral:rRNA from 1 species
AGCGAACGCUGGCGGCAGGCCUAACACAUGCAAGUCGAACGGACCCUUCGGGGUUAGUGGCGGACGGGUGAGUAACACGUGGGAACGUGCCUUUAGGUUCGGAAUAGCUCCUGGAAACGGGUGGUAAUGCCGAAUGUGCCCUUCGGGGGAAAGAUUUAUCGCCUUUAGAGCGGCCCGCGUCUGAUUAGCUAGUUGGUGAGGUAAUGGCUCACCAAGGCGACGAUCAGUAGCUGGUCUGAGAGGAUGACCAGCCACAUUGGGACUGAGACACGGCCCAAACUCCUACGGGAGGCAGCAGUGGGGAAUCUUGCGCAAUGGGCGAAAGCCUGACGCAGCCAUGCCGCGUGGAUGAUGAAGGUCCUAGGAUUGUAAAAUCCUCUCACCGGUGAAGAUAAUGACUGUAGCCGGAGAAGAAGCCCCGGCUAACUUCGUGCCAGCCGCCGCCGUAACAC